CACGUAGUUAGCCGGUGCUUAUUCUGCGGGUACCGUCAGUUACGCCGAGUAUUAGUCGACGCCGUUUCUUUCCCGCCAAAAGUGCUUUACAACCCGAAGGCCUUCUUCACACACGCGGAAUGGCUGGAUCAGGGUUUCCCCCAUUGUCCAAAAUUCCCCACUGCUGCCUCCCGUAGGAGUCUGGGCCGUGUCUCAGUCCCAGUGUGGCUGGUCGUCCUCUCAAACCAGCUACGGAUCGUCGCCUUGGUGAGCCUUUACCUCACCAACUAGCUAAUCCGAUAUCAGCCGCUCCAAUAGUGGGAGGUCCGAAGAUCCCCCCGUUUCCCCGUAGGGCGUAUGCGGUAUUAGCUACUCUUUCGAGUAGUUAUCCCCCGCUACUGGGUACGUUCCGAUACAUUACUCACCCGUUCGCCACUCGCCACCAGACCGAAGUCCGUGCUGCCGUUCGACUUGCAUGUGUAAGGCAUUCCGCUAGCGUUCAAUCUGAGCCAGGAUCAAACUC
rnacentral:rRNA from 1 species